rnacentral:tRNA from 1 species
AGUUUUAUAGUCAAUAAAAUGAUUUAAAAUUGCAAAUUUUAAGGAGUAAAAAAAAUUAAAAUUUACUAAGGCUU